AACGAACGCUGGCGGCAUGCCUAACACAUGCAAGUCGAACGAUUGCCUUCGGGUGAUUGUGGUGCACGGGUGCGUAACGCGUGGGAAUCUGCCCUUAGGUUCGGAAUAACAGCUGGAAACGGCUGCUAAUACCGGAUGAUAUCGCGAGAUCAAAGAUUUAUCGCCUGAGGAUGAGCCCGCGUUGGAUUAGGUAGUUGGUGGGGUAAAGGCCUACCAAGCGGACGAUCCAUAGCUGGUCUGAGAGGAUGAUCAGCCACACUGGGACUGAGACACGGCCCAGACUCCUACGGGAGGCAGCAGUGGGGAAUAUUGGACAAUGGGCGCAAGCCUGAUCCAGCAAUGCCGCGUGAGUGAUGAAGGCCCUAGGGUUGUAAAGCUCUUUUACCCGGGAAGAUAAUGACUGUACCGGGAGAAUAAGCCCCGGCUAACUCCGUG
rnacentral:rRNA from 1 species